CAGGACGGGUGCACUGCACGCUGGCACAGGAGCCCUGUCAGCCAAGUCAGCCCACAAUGAAGCGCCAACUGAAGACAUCAAAGGAAUACAAUGGGGUUUAGAGUCAGAUCUCUAGUGAUGAGUUCUACUCAGCAGACCUGACUGGUGCCUGACGUUGGCCAAGGCCAGGUGAAGGACAGGGACAGGAGGGACGAAGAGGACACUGGGACUGUGGAGAGAGGUGGCAUGGGAGGCCAGGAGAAGGAGAGGGACAGGAGGAACAUAGAGGACACUGGGACUGUGGAGAGAGGUGGCAUGGGAGGCUAGGAGAGGGACAGGAGGAACAUAGAGGACACUGGGACUGUGGAGGGAGGUGGCAUGGGAGUGCUGCUAGACCCAAAUAACACAGUGGGAUUUGUGUGUCUGUGCUGAAGCUGGAGACUGAGGAGUUUGAUCAUAUAUCAGACACAGAGAAGAGAUGACACGUGUGAGAGAAGGCCCGGCUGGGUGUCAUUAGGAAUUUGUGUUGUGCUUUACAUUUCACCACGCAGAUCAAGCAGACAUACGGCUCUCUCUGGAAACCCAUCUGCCAGCCACAUUACAGACAUUUUCUCUCUUCAUUUCUUUUUGAUUUACAAUUACUUUAAACUCCGGGCUCUCUUUUGUGCAGAGUGUGUGUGGUUAACUGCGCUUUCAGAGAGGCAACAACAACAAAAACAAACAGAAUCAGAUGGAGAGCCAAUGAGCGCUCCUAGUGACGACCUUUCACCCGGGAGAGAAGUCGACUGUGACGCAGGGUGAGGUAACCGCCGGAGCGGAUGGAGUUUCCAAAUUUACAUGUUGAAGAAAUGGGCAAAUAUGAGUUCAUCUCCACCCAUGUAUAAAAAAGCCCUUAACAGUCUGUAUGGAGAGAGACAGAUAGUAGUUUGGAGAGAGACAGGUAGUAGUUUGGAGGGAGACAGGUAGUCUGUAUGGAGAGAGACAGGUAGCCUGUAUGGAGAGAGACAGGUAGUCUGUAUGGAGAGAGACAGGUAGCCUGUAUGGAGAGAGACAGGUAGCCUGUAUGGAGAGAGACAGG
ensembl:lncRNA